rnacentral:rRNA from 1 species
UACCAGCACCCCGAGUGGUCGGGACGUCUAUUGGGCCUAAAGCAUCCGUAGCCGGUUCUACAAGUCUUCCGUUAAAUCCACCUGCUUAACAGAUGGGCUGCGGAAGAUACUAUAGAGCUAGGAGGCGGGAGAGGCAAGCGGUACUCAGUGGGUAGGGGUAAAAUCCUCUGAUCCAUUGAAGACCACCAGUGGCGAAGGCGGCUUGCCAGAACGCACUCGACGGUGAGGGAUGAAAGCUGGGGAGCCAACCGG